rnacentral:rRNA from 1 species
CCGCCUGGGGAGUACGGCCGCAAGGUUAAAACUCAAAUGAAUUGACGGGGGCCCGCACAAGCGGUGGAGCAUGUGGUUUAAUUCGAUGCAACGCGAAGAACCUUACCUGGUCUUGACAUCCACAGAACUUUCCAGAGAUGGAUUGGUGCCUUCGGGAACUGUGAGACAGGUGCUGCAUGGCUGUCGUCAGCUCGUGUUGUGAAAUGUUGGGUUAAGUCCCGCAACGAGCGCAACCCUUAUCCUUUGUUGCCAGCGGUUAGGCCGGGAACUCAAAGGAGACUGCCAGUGAUAAACUGGAGGAAGGUGGGGAUGACGUCAAGUCAUCAUGGCCCUUACGACCAGGGCUACACACGUGCUACAAUGGCGCAUACAAAGAGAAGCGACCUCGCGAGAGCAAGCGGACCUCAUAAAGUGCGUCGUAGUCCGGAUUGGAGUCUGCAACUCGACUCCAUGAAGUCGGAAUCGCUAGUAAUCGUGGAUCAGAAUGCCACGGUGAAUACGUUCCCGGGCCUUGUACACACCGCCCGUCACACCAUGGGAGUGGGUUGCAAAAGAAGUAGGUAGCUUAACCUUCGGGAGGGCGCUUACCACUUUGUGAUUCAUGACUGGGGUGAAGUCGUAACAAGGUAACCGUAGGGGAACCUGCGGUUGGAUCACCUCCUUACCUUAAAGAA